GGAGGGAUGGCAGAGUGGCCGAUCGCGACGGUUUUGAAAACCGUUAGGCCCGAAAGGGUCUCGGGGGUUCGAAUCCCUCUCCCUCCGCCA
rnacentral:tRNA from 1 species